UGGGGAAUCUUAGACAAUGGGCGCAAGCCUGAUCUAGCCAUGCCGCGUGAGUGAUGAAGGCCUUAGGGUCGUAAAGCUCUUUCGCCUGUGAAGAUAAUGACUGUAGCAGGUAAAGAAACCCCGGCUAACUCC
rnacentral:rRNA from 1 species